AGAUAGCUAAGAGCUCUCUCUAGAGCACCACUGUCUGUGAGGGGGAUGCAGAGAUGUACUGCAGCCAAGGGUGUGUGUGGUGCAUGAGCCAUUUUGUCACAAAGUUUUCUUUGAAAAUGAAUCAGCACAUUCUGUUCUUUGCAGAAGGCAAGUAUGAUUUGGAAGAUAAAAGCAGUUGCAUAUAAAAUACCUCAAUUUACAUUCAGGCAUUGUUGAUUGGAUGAAUCAAAGUCUCACUUUCAUCAGGUUUUCUCCAUCAGUUGUCAACUUUUAAGACGUUGUGAUUUUGGUUUGAAUUAGCUGGUGGCAUCUUACACUGGAGAGUGCUACUUUAAGAAGAGUUAAUGUGCUCUGAGACUUGUGACUACAGCACUGUUUUGAGGAACAUUUCUGAAAUGUGUGCAUAGUCUGACUUUUAAAAUAGCCUUAAACCUAAGAAAUGGACUUGGAAGAACCAAGUGGCACCGCUGAUACUACAGAGCAGAGUAUUUCCUUCUCUCCUUCCUCUUUUCAGCGUCCCUGCACUGUCACAAGAGGAAUUGGAUAAACAUUGGAAUCUUCACUCUUGUUAAAUGUCUCUCUGAAAGCAAACUUAAUUUUGUGCAGACUGGAAGCAUAUGUUUGCUUUCUGAAGACAUGGAAGCGAAAUCACUUUUUAAUCGGCCCCCACCUCUUCCCAUCCAGAGGAAUGGAUUACCCAGCUGAGGCCUUUCCCAAUAACUCUGCAAGAAUGCAGAAUGAAUCAGAACAGUCAUUUACAUUUCAUUUGAAUGCAGGUAGUACGUUUUGUGCCAAAGCCUUGGACUUACCUCUUACAGCAGAAUAUAACUUUGGAACAUCGGUACAGAAAGAUCAAGCCUGUAGCAAGGAGGAAUGUUUACUGCAGAAGAAAAAAAGAAAAAGAAAACCUUGACUGCACUGCAUAAAAUGCCUCUUUCUGAUCUGAUCAUUAUGCAUCCCAAGGUGGGCUAUCAGUUCCAAAGGAAACCAGAAGGAAUGAAUAAGUCAGCUUCACUUCCUUGC